rnacentral:rRNA from 1 species
AUUGAACGCUGGCGGCAUGCCUUACACAUGCAAGUCGAACGGUAACGGGCCUUCGGGUGCCGACGAGUGGCGAACGGGUGAGUAAUACAUCGGAACGUGCCCGAUCGUGGGGGAUAACGAGGCGAAAGCUUUGCUAAUACCGCAUACGAUCUACGGAUGAAAGCAGGGGACCGCAAGGCCUUGCGCGGACGGAGCGGCCGAUGGCAGAUUAGGUAGUUGGUGGGAUAAAAGCUUACCAAGCCGACGAUCUUUAGCUGGUCUGAGAGGAUGAUCAGCCACACUGGGACUGAGACACGGCCCAGACUCCUACGGGAGGCAGCAGUGGGGAAUUUUGGACAAUGGGCGCAAGCCUGAUCCAGCCAUGCCGCGUGCAGGAUGAAGGCCUUCGGGUUGUAAACUGCUUUUGUACGGAACGAAAAGCAUUCUUUUAAUACAGGAGGGUCAUGACGGUACCGUAAGAAUAAGCACCGGCUAACUACGUG